CGCAGCCGCGGUAAUUCCAGCUCCAAUAGCGUAUAUUAAAGUUGUUGCAGUUAAAAAGCUCGUAGUUGAAUUUCGAGAUCAAAUUGUUGGUCGUGCCUCGGUACGUACUGGCAUUAUUGAUUUCUCCCUUCUGAAGAACCUUGAUGUCAUUAAUUUGGUGUCUUGGGGAAUCAGGACCGUUACUUUGAAAAAAUUAGAGUGUUUAAAGCAGGCUCACGCUUGAAUACAUUAGCAUGGAAUAAUGAAAUAGGACGUUUGAUUCUAUUUUGUUGGUUUCUAGGAUCGACGUAAUGAUUAAUAGGGAUAGUUGGGGGCAUUAGUAUUCAAUUGUCAGAGGUGAAAUUCUUGGAUUUAUUGAAGACUAACUACUGCGAAAGCAUUUGCCAAGGAUGUUUUCAUUAAUCAAGAACGAAAGUUAGGGGAUCGAAGACGAUCAGAUACCGUCGUAGUCUUAACCAUAAACUAUGCCGACU
rnacentral:rRNA from 1 species